UCUUGUCUCCCGGCCGCGGCCCGCUCCCCCUCGCCCUAGAAAUUCCUCUGGCGGCAGGCGAGCAGAGAGAGACGAGCGCCCCCUGCUCCUGUAGUCCCGCCUCCCCUCUCAGCCUCCUUGCUCUACCUCAAUCUGUCGGCGGGGAAUUUAGGGUUUCUAGCUAGCGGCUGCCCUGCCGGCACAGUGGAAUUUAGGGUUUCUAGCUAGCGGCUGCCGGCGGGGAAUCUUUGAACCUUCUGUGCGCGGCUGCGACGGAGAUGGACCGGCUCGGUGUCCAUGGCGGAUGGAGGCUGCGGCGACAGCGACAGCGCGGCAGAGACCUAUGUUGCCUGCCUGUAGAGCGUCUGCUCUAUGAGAGCGAGUCGGAGGAUUUGGAAGGAGAGAAGGAUGUUCUCUUGGAUCCAAGCACUUUACGCAAUGAUGGGACUAUUGCUCUUUCAACAUAUUCUAUUAGCGAGGAUGGCAAGUGAAAGUGGAGCGACUGGAUCACUAUUCCUAUCAUAUCAUGUAUUGUAGACAUGAUGCAUUGAACAUAUGUCUGACAAAUUGUCCUUGGAGAAGGAAAUCCCAAUUAUUUGGCUGUGGUGUGCUGCUCUCUUUUGACAAUCAUUUCAUAUCACUACAACUAUUCAAACAAUAUGGAGGGUCGGUAAGGACGACGUGGAUGUUGCAAGUUUGUUUGUCGCAAUAUAUCUUGCUUACCAAUUUAGUAUGUAUAUAUAUCACUUCAUUCAAUUAAGGAAGGCAUUUUAGAGGGACUCAUGAUAAGUAGCAGCCUCGAGAAGAGCAACGACAGAAUAACCAUAGCAGUCAAUAGUGGAAGAGGCGUGGAAGCCAUAGUAGGUUGAGUUGGAGGUGGUGCAUUGUCAACAAAAGGAGGCAUGGUAGUAAGGGAGAUGGAGCAUUUGAAGAAUCCACAACGCGCGGACCACCAAUGUGGUAAACACGAGGAAGAGGGAGGGGAUUCACUAGAGAAGCCUCAAGGGAUGAGCGAGGUGAGGCAGCCUCAUGUAAAGAAUGAGGUGGGGAAGCUGCAGGUGAGGACGUCAGGGGGUUUACUACAGUAGUACGAGAAGAUAAGAUGUGAUGGGUGGACGAGGACAAUACAUGAGUGAUACACAAUACAUUAGUGAUAGGUGUAUCGGAAAAAAGUGAGGAAAGAAAUAUCCUCAAUAGGAGGAUGGAAGUGGAUAGAAAGGAUGAAACUCAUCAAAAGUCACAUCCCGAGAAAUGCACAUUCGUCAAACGAUAGGAUCCCAACAUCGAUAGCCUUUGUGCUCAUCACUACAACAUAAGAACAAACAUUUAAUAAACCAAGGAGUUAGGUUGGUGCGUUCCACGGCGCGCGCG